CAAGGGGCUGACAUGUAAUUAUUAUUAGCAAGGUAGAACGUGAUGGUUAUAUACAACAAUCAAUAAGAGUGACAGAGACGCACAAAUUGUUUUUUGUCCCUUUCUGCGUACAUAGGUAAUUUUUGUUUGCCCCAAACUUGUUUGGGGCAAACAAAGGACGCGUGUGCAAAACGAUUGUGAAACUUAAUUAAAUAAAAAGACAUUUUGUUAAUGUGAAGUGUUUUAGGGAUUGCCGAGUGAUUCUUCUAAUAAUUAAAAAUGGUAAAUUGUAGCGUAAUUGGCUGUAAAAACCGUACUCAACGAAAAUGUGAAAACAUAACAUUUCACACAUUCCCAAAGGACGAGACUUCACGAAGUCUUUGGAUUGCAGCGACUGGACGGCAAAAUUGGCAGCCCACUCAGCACACUCGCAUGUGUUCUGUCCAUUUUCAAGCUGGUUGCUUUCAGAAAAAGCAGCAGAAAAUGUAUUUGGCAAAUUAUUCAAUACCAGCAUUAGCCGUUCAUGAUGUACCAGUUCAUUGUGACAAAGCUUCAUCUAGCGAAACUACCGAAGUUUUACCCAUGGAAUGCGAUAUUCAAGCAUCAAAUAAUCUAGCAGACACGAUGACACCAAGAAAUUUAAAGCUGACAAUGAAUUUACAAAGAAGAACGUUAAUAGCUGAAAACCGCAAGAAAAAAAUAACCGCAUUGAGAUCAAAGACUCGAAGACUUGUAAAAAAAAAUGCAGAAUUGACUGAUAUUAUAGAAAAUUUAAAAACAAAGCUAUUCAUCAACCAGGAAGCAGCGGAUUUACUUUCUGUGCUUAAUAAUGGCUCGGACUUCAUUAAGCCAAACAAAAGUAAAUUUUCACCCGAAGUGCGAAAAUUUGCUUUAAAUCUUCAUUUCAUCAGUCCACGCGCCUAUAUUUAUGUGCGCCAGCAUUUUAAAACUUGCCUGCCCCAUACACGUACAUUAGUACGUUGGUAUUCAACUGUAGAUGGUGAACCAGGAUUUUCAUCUGAAGCUCUUCAAGCUAUAGAAAAAAUUGCAAAAAAUAAUAUUUCGAAAAAACUGUUAUGCAGUUUGUGCUUUGAUGAAAUGGCAAUAAGAAAAUGUAUAGAGUGGCUGGUAGGGCAAAAAAAAAAUGAGACAUGUAUAGGCUCCUUAGAGCAUUAAUUGACAAUUUGUAAGUACUAAUUUAAUUAGUGUAUGUAUAUGUUACGGCUAAAGAUAGGUGUGAACAUAAACUUAAGAUUAGCCGGCUAAACUUAAGUUUAUCUUCGAGAAGCAGCUAAAGUUCGAUAACAUGUUAGUUUGCGUCGUGAUAUUCCAUCUUUAGCCGGCUAAUAUGCACAUUAGCCAAAACGAAAUGGCUAAAAAU